rnacentral:rRNA from 1 species
AAACUAACAAGGAUUCCCCUAGUAGCGGCGAGCGAAGCGGGAAGAGCUCAAAUUUAUAAUCUGGCACCUUCGGUGUCCGAGUUGUAAUCUCUAGAAGUGUUUUCCGCGUUGGACCGCACACAAGUCUGUUGGAAUACAGCGGCAUAGUGGUGAGACCCCCGUAUAUGGUGCGGACGCCCAACGCUUUGUGAUACACUUUCGAAGAGUCGAGUUGUUUGGGAAUGCAGCUCAAAUUGGGUGGUAAAUUCCAUCUAAAGCUAAAUAUUGGCGAGAGACCGAUAGCGAACAAGUACCGUGAGGGAAAGAUGAAAAGCACUUUGGAAAGAGAGUUAACAGUACGUGAAAUUGUUGGAAGGGAAACGCUUGAAGUCAGACUUGCUUGCCGAGCAAUCGGUUUGCAGGCCAGCAUCAGUUUUCCGGGGUGGAUAAUGGUAGAGAGAAGGUAGCAGUUUCGGCUGUGUUAUAGCUCUCUGCUGGAUACACCUUGGGGGACUGAGGAACGCAGUGUG